rnacentral:rRNA from 1 species
CUUAGUGGCGGACGGGUGAGUAACGCGUGGGUAACCUGCCUCACACUGGGGGAUAACAGUUAGAAAUAGCUGCUAACACCGCAUAAGCGCACAGUUCCGCAUGGAACAGUGUGAAAAACUCCGGUGGUGUGAGAUGGACCCGCGUCUGAUUAGCCAGUUGGCGGGGUAACGGCCCACCAAAGCGACGAUCAGUAGCCGGCCUGAGAGGGUGAACGGCCACAUUGGGACUGAGACACGGCCCAAACUCCUACGGGAGGCAGCAUG